rnacentral:lncRNA from 1 species
CCCCUUCUCUCACGACCUUGCUCCCUACCCCACCCCUUUUUUUUGUGACUUUCAGGCAACCCCUCCCAUUUCCCGAGCUAGGCAGUCCACCUCGCUUUUUUUUGGGGUUUGUUGUGUGCGUGAUUUUCAGGUACAAGCCACGGCGGACAAGGCGAGCUUGCGGCAUUUGGACGCGAAGAGCAAAGCAACACCGAACGAAAUGUGCAAGAGCUAGCGAUAGUUGAUAUCGGGCGAAUCAAAGCAUACUUCCAGGUUUUUUCAUCGGGUGUUGGUACCCCCCGACCUCCUUUUUUACUCUGUACACCCUUUUACGUUUUCUAUCUAAGCACCCUGUGUGUGGUUUAGUUUGUCGAUUCCUAGCUUGCAUCCUUUUGCGUAUUCCGG